GGGAAGUAACUGGUCGUUUGCUG
rnacentral:piRNA from 1 species